GGCCGUACCCGAUGACGGUGGUAGUCAAGCACGCCACCGGAGGCGAACGCCGAUAGUACCUCGAGGCCUCGGCCGAGGGGAUAGUAUCCCGGUAAUUUACCCCCGAGAAAACCCGCUAAACUUCAAGUGACGAGGAACCGUACUGUAAACGGACACACGUGGUCGGGUAGAACAUACCAAGGCGCUCGAGUGAUUCAUGGUCAAGGAACUAGGCAAAAUAGUCCUGUAACCUCGGGAAAAAGGACGCUCUAGUGAUAGAGCCGCAGAGUAAUGGCCCAGGCGACUGUUUACCAAAAACACAUGGCUAUGCCAAAUCGAAAGAUGACGUAUAUGGCCUGACACCUGCCCGGUGCCGGAAGGUUAAGAGGAGAGCUCAGGGGUGACCCGAAGGUUCAAAUUGAAGCCCCGGUAAACGGCGGCCGUAACGAUAACGGUCCUAGGGUAGCGAAAUUCCUUGUCGGGUAAGUUCCGACCUGCACGAAUGGUGUAACGAUCUGGGCACUGUCUCGACCAUGAGCUCGGUGAAAUUGUAGUUCCGGUGAAGAUGCCGGGUACCCGCGACGGGACGGAAAGACCCCGUCAACCUUUACUGCAGCUUCGCGUUGUUCCCGGGCACGGGACGUGUAGGAUAGGUCGGAGGCAAUGAAGCGGUUUCGCCAGGAAUCGUGGAGCCAUCGUUGAAAUACGACCCUUCUCUUGUCUGGGAUCUAACCCGUUUAACGGGGACACCGCGUGGUGGGUAGUUUGACUGGGGUGGUCGCCUCCAAAAGCGUAACGGAGGCUUCCAAAGGUACCCUCGGGUUGGUUGGUAAUCAACCUUCGAGUGCAAUGGCACAAGGGUGCUUGACCGGGAGACCAACGAGUCGAUCGGGUGCGAAAGCAGGGCAUAGUGAUCCGGUGAUCCCGCGUGGAAGGGUCAUCGCUCAAAGGAUAAAAGGUACCCCGGGGAUGACAGGCUGAUCGCCCCCAAGAGCUCAUAUCGACGGGGCGGUUUGGCACCUCGAUGUCGGCUCGUCACAUCCUGGGGCUGGAGAAGGUCCCAAGGGUUCGGCUGUUCGCCGAUUAAAGUGGCACGCGAGCUGGGUUCAGAACGUCGUGAGACAGUUCGGUCCCUAUCUGUCGUGGGCGUUGGAGAUUCGAGAGGUCCUGACUCUAGUACGAGAGGACCGGGUUGGACGCGCCGCUAGUGAACCUGUUAUGACGCCAGUCGUACGGCAGGGUAGCCACGCGCGGACGGGAUAAGCGCUGAAAGCAUCUAAGCGCGAAGCCUGCCUCGAGAUGAGAUCUCCUUGCAGGGUCGUCGUAGACGACGACGUCGAUAGGCCACAGGUGUAAAGCCGGUGACGGCAAAGCCGAGUGGUACUAAUCACCCGUAA
rnacentral:rRNA from 1 species